CUGCACUUUAAUGAACUAUUAAUUUCAAGGAUCUUUCCUUUACCAUUAUACUUUAUUGAACCAGGCCAAGCUUGCAGCUGUGAAGGAAAGAUUUGGACGAGAGAUCCACAUUUUUGAAACAUCAACUUUUGCUUCAUCAUCAAAUGCUCCAUUAUCCAAUGGAGAGGAGACCGAUGACUUCUAUGAGUUUACUGCUGAAGAUUAUUACAGACUUUUGGCUUCUAAGAAGGAAGAUAAAUUCUUGAAGACUC